GCCGGGGUGGCGGAAUCGGCAGACGCGACGGACUUAAAAUCCGUUGGAGGUAGCCCCUCCGUGCGGGUUCGAGUCCCGCCCUCGGCA
rnacentral:tRNA from 1 species